rnacentral:rRNA from 1 species
UACGUAGGGGGCUAGCGUUGUCCGGAAUCAUUGGGCGUAAAGCGCGUGUAGGCGGUCCGGUAAGUCCGCUGUGAAAGUCGGGGGCUCAACCCUCGGAUGCCGGUGGAUACUGUCGGGCUUGAGUACGGAAGAGGCGAGUGGAAUUCCUGGUGUAGCGGUGAAAUGCGCAGAUAUCAGGAGGAACACCAAUGGCGAAGGCAGCUCGCUGGGACGGUACUGACGCUGAGGCGCGAAAGCGUGGGGAGCGAACAGG